rnacentral:rRNA from 1 species
GACAGAGGAUGCAAGCGUUAUCCGGAAUGAUUGGGCGUAAAGCGUCUGUAGGUGGCUUUUUAAGUCUGCCGUCAAAUCCCAAGGCUUAACCUUGGAACUGCGUCGGAUACUGGAUGGCUUGAAUUCGGGAGAGGGAUGCAGAAUUCCAGGUGUAGCGGUGAAAUGCGUAGAUAUCUGGAGGAAUACCGGUGGCGAAGGCGGCAUCCUGGACCGACAUUGACGCUGAGGAGCGAAAGCUAGGGGAGCAAACGGG